rnacentral:lncRNA from 1 species
ACUUGAUUAGGGAGAUUUUCGAGAUUGUCUUGAAUAUCCGUGUCAGGAAUGAGAACACCCGGACCAAGAUCAACAACUUGAGAGAAAGACACAUGUUCUUCCUCAAAGACAAAAUCUCUAAAAACUUUAUCUCCCACCCCCCAAACUCAAUAUUCUCAAAGAAUCGAGCAUUACCCGUCUCAAAAAUAGUUCUAGAAGUGGG